rnacentral:misc_RNA from 1 species
UACGGAGGGUGCAAGCGUUAUCCGGAAUCACUGGGUUUAAAGGGUGCGUAGGCGGAAUUUCAAGUCAGGCGUGAAAUGUUCUUGCUUAACGAGGAACGUGCGUUUGAAACUGAGGUACUUGAAUUAGGUUGAGGUUAGCAGAAUGUGACAUGUAGCGGUGAAAUGCAUAGAUAUGUCAUAGAAUACCGAUUGCGAAGGCAGCUAACUGGCCCUAUAUUGACGCUGAGGCACGAAAGCUGGGGUCUCGAACCGG